GAUGAACGCUAGCUACAGGCUUAACACAUGCAAGUCGAGGGGCAGCACAGUGUAGCAAUACACGGGUGGCGACCGGCGCACGGGUGCGUAACGCGUAUCCAACCCUCCCGUUACCCUUGGAUAGCCUUCCGAAAGGGAGAUUAAUACAAGAUGGUAUUCAAAUUCCGCAUGUUAUUUGAAUUAAAGAUUUAUCGGUAACGGAUGGGGAUGCGUGACAUUAGAUAGUAGGCGGGGUAACGGCCCACCUAGUCUACGAUGUCUAGGGGUUCUGAGAGGAAGGUCCCCCACACUGGAACUGAGACACGGUCCAGACUCCCACGGGAGGCAGCAGUGAGGAAUAUUGGUCAAUGGUCGGAAGACUGAACCAGCCAAGUAGCGUGAAGGAUGAAGGUUCUAUGGAUUGUAAACUUCUUUUAUACGGGAAUAAAACCUCCAACGUGUGGGAGCUUGUAUGUACCGUAUGAAUAAGCAUCGGCUAACUCCGUGCCAGCAGCCGCGGUAAAAC
rnacentral:rRNA from 1 species